GGAGAGGAAAGUGGAAUUCCCGGUGUAGAGGUGAAAUUCGUAGAUAUCGGGAGGAAUACCUGAGGCGAAGGCGACUUUCUGGACCAAUACUGACGCUGAGGUGCGAAAGCGUGGGUAGCGAACAGGAUUAGAUACCCUGGUAGUCCACAGCCGUAAACGAUGUGCACUAGAUGUUGGGGGAGUUGAUCCCUUCAGUGUCGCAGCUAACGCGAUAAGUGCACCGCCUGGGGAGUACGGCCGCAAGGUUAAAACUCAAAGGAAUUGACGGGGGCCCGCACAAGCGGUGGAGUAUGUGGUUUAAUUCGAUGCAACGCGAAGAACCUUACCUGGUCUUGACAUCCCGGGAAUUUUCUGGAAACAGAAAAGUGCUUCUUUAUAGAAGAGCCUGGAGACAGGUGCUGCAUGGCUGUCGUCGGCUCGUGUCGUGAGAUGUUGGGUUAAGUCCCGUAACGAGCGCAACCCACGCCUUUAGUUGCCAUCAUUUAGUUGGGCACUCUAGAGGGACAGCCCCGGUUAACGGGGAGGAAGGUGUGGAUGACGUCAAGUCCUCAUGGCCCUUAUGGCCAGGGCUACACACGUACUACAAUGGGCGGUACAAAGGGCAGCUACAUCGCGAGGUGGAGCCAAUCCCCCAAAACCGUUCUCAGUCCGGAUCGGAGUCUGCAACUCGACUCCGUGAAGUUGGAAUCGCUAGUAAUC
rnacentral:rRNA from 1 species